rnacentral:rRNA from 1 species
CUGGGUCUAAUACCGGAUAGGACCUUUAGACGCAUGUCUUUUGGUGGAAAGCUUUUGCGGUGUGGGAUGGGCCCGCGGCCUAUCAGCUUGUUGGUGGGGUGAUGGCCUACCAAGGCGACGACGGGUAGCCGGCCUGAGAGGGUGUCCGGCCACACUGGGACUGAGAUACGGCCCAGACUCCUACGGGAGGCAGCAGUGGGGAAUAUUGCACAAUGGGCGCAAGCCUGAUGCAGCGACGCCGCGUGGGGGAUGACGGCCUUCGGGUUGUAAACCUCUUUCACCAUCGACGAAGGUUCGGGUUUUCUCGGAUUGACGGUAGGUGGAGAAGAAGCACCGGCCAACUACGUGCCAGCAGCCGCGGUAAUACGUAGGGUGCGAGCGUUGUCCGGAAUUACUGGGCGUAAAGAGCUCGUAGGUGGUUUGUCGCGUUGUUCGUGAAAUCUCACGGCUUAACUGUGAGCGUGCGGGCGAUACGGGCAGACUAGAGUACUGCAGGGGAGACUGGAAUUCCUGGUGUAGCGGUGGAAUGCGCAGAUAUCAGGAGGAACACCGGUGGCGAAGGCGGGUCUCUGGGCAGUAACUGACGCUGAGGAGCGAAAGCGUGGGGAGCGAACAGGAUUAGAUACCCUGGUAGUCCACGCCGUAAACGGUGGGUACUAGGUGUGGGUUUCCUUCCUUGGGAUCCGUGCCGUAGCUAACGCAUUAAGUACCCCGCCUGGGGAGUACGGCCGCAAGGCUAAAACUCAAAGGAAUUGACGGGGGCCCGCACAAGCGGCGGAGCAUGUGGAUUAAUUCGAUGCAACGCGAAGAACCUUACCUGGGUUUGACAUGCACAGGACGCGUCUAGAGAUAGGCGUUCCCUUGUGGCCUGUGUGCAGGUGGUGCAUGGCUGUCGUCAGCUCGUGUCGUGAGAUGUUGGGUUAAGUCCCGCAACGAGCGCAACCCUUGUCUCAUGUUGCCAGCGGGUAAUGCCGGGGACUCGUGAGAGACUGCCGGGGUCAACUCGGAGGAAGGUGGGGAUGACGUCAAGUCAUCAUGCCCCUUAUGUCCAGGGCUUCACACAUGCUACAAUGGCCGGUACAAAGGGCUGCGAUGCCGCAAGGUUAAGCGAAUCCUUUUAAAGCCGGUCUCAGUUCGGAUUGGGGUCUGCAACUCGACCCCAUGAAGUCGGAGUCGCUAGUAAUCGCAGAUCAGCAACGCUGCGGUGAAUACGUUCCCGGGCCUUGUACACACCGCCCGUCACGUCAUGAAAGUCGGUAACACCCGAAGCCAGUGGCCUAACC